GAUGAAGAACGUAGCGAAAUGCGAUAAGUAAUGUGAAUUGCAGAAUUCAGUGAAUCAUCGAAUCUUUGAACGCACAUUGCGCCCCUUGGUAUUCCGAGGGGCAUGCCUGUUCGAGCGUCAUUAUAACCCCUCAAGCUCAGCUUGGUGUUGGGGCCUGCUGCACUGGCAGCCCUUAAAAUCAGUGGCGGCGCCAUCUGGCUCUAAGCGUAGUAAUUCUUCUCGCUAUGGAGUCCUGGUGGAUGCUUGCCAUCAACCCCCAAUUUUUCUAUGGUUGACCUCGGAUCAGGUAGGGAUACCCGCUGAACUUAAGCAUAUCAAUAAGCGGGA
rnacentral:misc_RNA from 1 species